GGAAGUAAAAGUCGUAACAGGGUCUCCGUAGGUGAACCUGCGGAGGGAUCAUUACAGAGUUCAUGCCCUACCGGGUAGAUCUCCCACCCUAUGUUAUUAUUACUUUGUUGCUUUGGCGGGCCGUUAGGCUCCGGCCCGACUACCGGCCCCGGCUGGUAAGCGCCCGCCAGAGGACCCAAAACCCUGAAUAUUAGUGUCGUCUGAGUACUAUAUAAUAGUUAAAACUUUCAACAACGGAUCUCUUGGUUCUG
rnacentral:misc_RNA from 1 species